rnacentral:rRNA from 1 species
CAUUUUGUUGGUUUCUGAGAUCGCCGUAAUGAUUAAUAGGGAUAGUUGGGGGCAUUUGUAUUCCGUCGUCAGAGGUGAAAUUCUUGGAUUGCCGGAAGACAAACUACUGCGAAAGCAUUUGCCAAGGAUGUUUUCAUUGAUCAAGAACGAAGGAAGGGGGAUCGAAAACGAUUAGAUACCGUUGUAGUCUCUUCUGUAAACUAUGCCAAUUGGGGAUCGGUACAGGAUUUUUAAUGACUGUAUCGGCACCCGAAGAGAAAUCUUUAAAUGAGGUUCGGGGGGGAGUAUGGUCGCAAGGCUGAAACUUAAAGGAAUUGACGGAAGGGCACCACCAGGUGUGGAGCCUGCGGCUUAAUUUGACUCAACACGGGGAAACUCACCAGGUCCAGACACAAUAAGGAUUGACAGAUUGAUAGCUCUUUCUUGAUCUUGUGGUUGGUGGUGCAUGGCCGUUCUUAGUUGGUGGAGUGAUUUGUCUGGUUAAUUCCGAUAACGAACGAGACCUUAACCUGCUAAAUAGACCAGCCGGCUUUGGCUAGCUGCUGUCUUCUUAGAGGGACUAUCAGCGUUUAGCUGAUGGAAGUUUGAGGCAAUAACAGGUCUGUGAUGCCCUUAGAUGUUCUGGGCCGCACGCGCGCUACACUGACAGAGCCAGCGAGUCUACCACCUUUGCCGGAAGGCAUGGGUAAUCUUGUGAAACUCUGUCGUGAUGGGGAUAGAGCAUUGCAAUA